GGGCCCGUGGCGGAAUGGUAGACGCUGCAGACUUAAAAUCUGUUGUUCGUAAGAGCGUGGGGGUUCAAGUCCCCCCGGGCCCACCA
rnacentral:tRNA from 1 species